UACGUAGGGGGCAAGCGUUGUCCGGAAUCAUUGGGCGUAAAGCGCGUGUAGGCGGCUUCGUAAGUCCGUUGUGAAAGUCCAGGGCUCAACCCUGGAAUGCCGAUGGAUACUGCGGAGCUAGAGUCCGGAAGAGGCGAGUGGAAUUCCUGGUGUAGCGGUGAAAUGCGCAGAUAUCAGGAGGAACACCGAUUGCGAAGGCAGCUCGCUGGGACGUAACUGACGCUGAGACGCGAAAGCGUGGGGAGCAAACAGG
rnacentral:rRNA from 1 species